CGGGGUGCAGCAGGCGCGAAAACUUUACAAUGCGGGAAACCGUGAUAAGGGAACUCCGAGUGCCCGUAAAAUCGGGCUGUCCAUCUGUUUAAAUAACAGGUGAAGAAAGGGCCGGGCAAGACCGGUGCCAGCCGCCGCGGUAAUACCGGCGGCUCGAGUGGUGGCCACUAUUACUGGGCUUAAAGCGUUCGUAGCUGGUCUGUUAAGUCUCUGGGGAAAUCUACUGGCUUAACCAAUAGGCGUUUCAGGGAUACUGGCAGACUAGGGACCGGGAGAGGUGAGGGGUACUCCAGGGGUAGGAGUGAAAUCCUGUAAUCCUUGGGGGACCACCUGUGGCGAAGGCGCCUCACCAGAACGGCUCCGACAGUGAGGGACGAAAGCUGGGGGAGCAAACCGGAUUAGAUACCCGGGUAGUCCCAGCCGUAAACGAUGCGCGUUAGGUGUAUCGGUGACCACGAGUCACCGAGGUGCCGAAGAGAAAUCGUGAAACGUGCCGCCUGGGAAGUACGGUCGCAAGGCUGAAACUUAAAGGAAUUGGCGGGGGAGCAC
rnacentral:rRNA from 1 species